GUGACCCCAGGGAUGGGCGGAGGCCACCCGCUGAGC
rnacentral:rRNA from 1 species